rnacentral:rRNA from 1 species
CACACCGCCCGUCGCUACUACCGAUUGAAUGAUUUAGUGAGGCCUUCGGACCGGCGCUCUUGGAUGUUCUACCCCUCCCCCCGCAAGGGUGCUUGGGGGGGUUCUCGCCUGGAGCUGACGGAAAGAUGUCCAAACUUGAUCAUUUAGAGGAAGUAAAAGUCGUAACAAGGUUUCCGUAGGUGAACCUGCGGAAGGAUCAUUA